UCGAGAAGCCUUUCUUUCCUUGAGUUUUUCAACCUUUUUGGCAAUCUUCAACCUACUGUGCCAUAUUUUUGAACUUUCGUGACUUUCAGCGUGUUGUCGUAUCCACUAGUUGAUAUAAUUUCAAAAUUAUUUAGUUAAUCUCUCGGUGUAGCUCGUUAAAAAGUGCGUAAAGAUUAUCCGGAGUGCGUUACGUUGGGAGAUUUGAUGUGCGGCUGAACUUGUGCUAAACACGAAAUUGACAGUAUCCUACAUUUGCCCCUCCAGAUAUUAAGAUUUUUUCAUACUCUACUUGAACUUCAAUUUGUGCUGAGGUGUUGCAUUUCAGGAAUCGAGAAUAAAAGACAUGGACCGCAAGAUAAAAAAAGAAGACUUUCCUGACUACAGUGCGAUAAAAAAAGAAGACUUUCCUGACGACAGUGCGGAAUCCACCUCCGCUCUACCCAUCGCAUGCAUCAGGGCAGACAGAAAUUAUGGUAUUUUAAAGAGAGUUAAGGGUAGGGUUGUAUUCCUCACCGGAAUUGAAGAAUGGAGGUGUUACAGUAAGUCUGGCAUUAGGUUCCAUUUCGACAUCAGCGACAAAACUGGAAGCAUUCGAGUCAACGCUUGGAACGCUGCUGCAGAAUUCGCCGGGAGUAUAAUUGAGCGGGGAAAGUCAAUAGAAUUAAACAAUGUACUAAUUUGUUUCCGAAAUAAACGUUAUAAUAAUUUAGACCACAAAUUUGAACUGUUAAUACCGGAGCACACCUUCUGUGAAUGCACCUUGCGAGAGAUAAGUCAAAAAAUUGAUGUACUGGAAGAGAAGUGCUCUUUUACAGAGUUAUCAGAAGUAAAAAACGUACCAAAAUUUACGUACUUCAGCAUUUUCGGCAAAAUCACUGCAAUCUCCGAACCUUUUUCGGGUCAAGGACCGAAAUUAAAUGAUUAUGAAGGGCACUACUUAGAUGUUGAAGAUAAAAAUGGGACUGUUGUGAAAGUUGCAGUGUUUAAUAAAUAUUUUCCGGUAACGGAAAACAUUAAGGGGAAAA